AUACGGAGGAUCCGAGCGUUAUUCGGAUUUAUUGGGUUUAAAGGGCGCGCAGGCGGCCAUUUAAGUCAGCGGUUAAAUCAUGGGGCGCAACCCCAUCCUGCCGUUGAUACUGGGUGGCUUGAUUUCGGUCGGGGUUCGCGGGAGUGGUUGGGUGGCGGGGAAAUGAAUAGAUAUGACGAAGAACACCGAUUGCGUAGGCAGCUGACCUGGCCGCAAAUGACGCUCAUGCACGAAAGUGCGGGGAUCGAACAGGAUUAGAUACCCUGGUAGUCCGCACAGUAAACGAUGAAUACUUGUUUUCGGCGAUAUAAUGUCGGAGGCAAAGCGAAAGCGAUAAGUAUUCCACCUUGGGAGUACGCCGGCAACGGUGAAACUCAAAGGAAUUGGCGGGG
rnacentral:rRNA from 1 species